rnacentral:tRNA from 1 species
UCCCUCUUAGCUCAGUUGGUUAGAGCAAAAGGCUGUUAACCUUUGUGCCGUUGGUUCGAAUCCAGCAGGGGGAGCCA